GUUUAGAGAAGGUGGAAAAGUCGAGAAUGAAGUCAAACUAAAUCAUCGGACAGCAUUAUUUCAAUUUGAACACCACCAAUUCAUCGAAACAAAGGCCCCUUGUGGAGGCAGUCGUAUUGUAACGUAUUCUGAGAAGAGGGACGUGAACUGAUGCAGUCCCUGUCACAUGCUGUAUCAUUACAGACUCACUCAGUAAAUGUUGUGGUGUGUCCUGAGUCCGCUACAUAUUUGGUGCCGUGACCCGAAUGAAAAGAUCAGCUGCAGCAUCAACAGGGACCCUUUCUACGCUUCCUCGACAUCACCAAGACGUCUUAAGCCUGAAGACUGGAUCACUGAUGUGAUCUGGCAGUUGAGAAAAUCAAAAGUGCAGUUAGUCAGACUGCUCUUCUUGCCCACCCAGACUUUAAGAGACAAUUUGUCCUCUUUAUCGAUGCUUCAAUGGAUGGAUGUCCUUUGCCAAAUACAUUAAGGUGUAUAAGGAGACAGAGACCUGUAGCCUAAGCAAAUAAAAUUGUCCAAGUCA